rnacentral:rRNA from 1 species
AGGACGAACGCUGGCGGCGUGCUUAACACAUGCAAGUCACGGGGGCCCGCAAGGGUAACCGGCGAACGGGUGCGUAACACGUGAGCAACCUGCCUAGAUGUGGGGGAUAGCCGGCCCAACGGCCGGGUAAUACCGCAUACGGUCACGAGGAGGAGUCUCCUUGUGAAGAAACCUCCGGGGCAUUUAGAGGGGCUCGCGGCCUAUCAGCUAGUUGGCGGGGUUAAUGGCCCACCAAGGCUUCGACGGGUAGCUGGUCUGAGAGGAUGGCCAGCCACAUUGGGACUGAGAGACGGCCCAGACUCCUACGGGAGGCAGCAGUGGGGAAUCUUGCGCAAUGGCCGAAAGGCUGACGCAGCGACGCCGCGUGUGGGAGGACGCCCUUCGGGGUGUAAACCACUGUUGCCCGGGACGAACAUCCACUUUCGAGUGGACUGACGGUACCGGGUGAGGAAGCACCGGCUAACUCCGUGCCAGCAGCCGC